UGAGGAAUAUUGCACAAUGGGCGCAAGCCUGAUGCAGCGACGCCGCGUGUGGGAUGAAGGGGCUACGCCUCGUAAACCACUGUAGCCCGGGACGAAAAACGCCUUAGAGGCGUUAGACGGUACCGGGAAAGUAAGGGUCGGCUAACUCCGUGCCAGCAGCCGCGGUAAUACGUAGGACCCAAGCGUUGUCCGGAUUUACUGGGUGUAAAGGGUGCGCAGGCGGAUGGGUAAGUCAGGGGUGAAAGUCUGCAGCUUAACUGUAGAAUUGCCUGUGAUACUGCUCAUCUUGAGGGUGGGAGAGGUUGAUGGAAUUCCAGGUGUAGCAGUGAAAUGCGUAGAUAUCUGGAAGAACACCGGUGGCGAAGGCGGUCAACUGGCCCAUAACUGACGCUCAUGCACGAAAGCGUGGGGAGCAAACA
rnacentral:rRNA from 1 species